GCCUAACACAUGCAAGUCGAACGAGACCUUCGGGUCUAGUGGCGCACGGGUGCGUAACGCGUGGGAAUCUGCCCUUGGGCUCGGAAUAACAGUUAGAAAUGACUGCUAAUACGGGAUGAUGACGUAAGUCCAAAGAUUUAUCGCCCAAGGAUGAGCCCGCGUAGGAUUAGCUUGUUGGUGAGGCAAAGGCUCACCAAGGCGACGAUCCUUAGCUGGUCUGAGAGGAUGAUCAGCCACACUGGGACUGAGACACGGCCCAGACUCCUACGGGAGGCAGCAGUGGGGAAUAUUGGACAAUGGGCGAAAGCCUGAUCCAGCAAUGCCGCGUGAGUGAUGAAGGCUCUAGGGUUGUAAAGCUCUUUUACCCGGGAUGAUAAUGACAGUACCGGGAGAAUAAGCCCCGGCUAACUCCGUGCCAGCAGCCGCGGUAAUACGGAGGGGGCUAGCGUUGUUCGGAAUUACUGGGCGUAAAGCGCACGUAGGCGGCUUUUUAAGUCAGAGGUGAAAGCCCGGGGCUCAACCCCGGAAUUGCCUUUGAGACUGGAAAGCUAGAACACGGGGGAGGUGAGUGGAAUUCCGAGUGUAGAGGUGAAAUUCGUAGAUAUUCGGAAG
rnacentral:rRNA from 1 species